UGGGGGCAUUGCCAGUCCCUCUCUGCCCUUAGUGAGCUGUGUGACUUUGCACAAGUCGCUCCCCCUCACUGAGCCUUCCCUCCUUCCUCUGUGAUUGGGGGCAAGGGAAGUUAACGGGCAGUGGUUUUGCAAUUAGGUUCUGCUGAGCCCUUAGGCGCCCUUCAGAAGCCCUCGCAGGAGGAGGGUCGGGGGCUCGGUGGGUGGGAUUCCGAGCCCCCCGAGCCCCACCUUAACCAGACCAUCCUGCUUUUCUCUCUUUUAUAAUCAGGGUUCUGCAUAAUAUUUUGAGGGAAGACACAGUUCUGAGGCUCGAAGGAAAACGAAAACCACUUUGCCAACUGAUCUCGGAAGCCUGCCUUCCAGCGCUCACAGCCCAGCAGCCCGGGGAGAUGAUGGACCUCACCCUCCGCUGCCUCAGAGAGAGCAUCUUCCCUGUGGCCUUUCCUGUUCACGUUCCCCUUAGAAAAUCCAGCGGCCUGGCGGUAAGACGGGGCAUGGUUUUCCCUCUUGGCUAAAUAGUUUCAUGUGCCGUCUCCUGGUGUCCGUGAGAUUGAAACGCAGCUCGUCGAGGCCUGGGCAAGACUGUCUUUUCAUUUGCGUUGAUCACAACUGCUGACAAACAGUAUCUUUCCCAUCUUGCCGAUACAUUACGCCUUUCGUGACGGACAUUUGAUCGCAAGAGCCCUUGACGGUAUUUAACUUGAAGGCAUUUAACUUAAAACCAUUAUUAGAUUUUUGUUGAGCUGUCCCUUGACACGCUCCCCGUCCAAAAAUAAGGCCUUCAGGUACCUCUGAGAUAUUUAAGUACACGUCGUCUUCCGAGACCACCCUCACACCAAAGGCAAAUACUUUAAAAGUUGCUUUGUAAUAUUAAAAGAGAAGAGAGAGCGAGAACGCGCGUGAGAGAGAACCGGGCGGGUUUUCCAUGAUUACUAAUUUAGCAGACUCUCUGUUAUGUUUUAUUGAUAGUUCUAAACAUAAAUUUGCCUUUGGUAUACUUUGCUGCUGAUGCCUAAAAUAAGACAUGUAAGAACACAUAAUCCUAUGCCUACGGCUUUGCAGAAUAUUGUACAAAGGCUCUUUGUGGUAACCCAAGCAAGAGAUAUUUAAAUGGCGAAGUGCAGGGCUUAGGCGG
rnacentral:lncRNA from 1 species